AUCGCUCAUCCGUCCUCAUCCACCCGCUGCUGCGAAGACAUCGCUCCUCGACUCCUCCUCGCUCGCUCCUCCUCCUCCCCGCUGCCACCGCUCCUCCGCGGCCACGCCGGAGCCACUGCCGGGUCCUUCUUCUUCCCCACCGCCGGGUCCUGCUUCUUCCCCAUCCCCACCGACGCGGCCGGCCUCUUCGCUCGCGCCUCCUCCUCCCCGCUGCCGCCGCUCCGCCGCAUCCUAGACGGAGCUCUGCCGGAGCUCCGCCGGACUCUUACUCGGAGCCGCCGCCGGAGCAGGCCUCGGCCCCUCAUCAACGAUCAACGCUUGAUUGCCAAAUGGUCUGAUCCGGCCGCUCCGCUGCCAAGGCCACCACCCCGAGAUCGCGUGGAUCUGGCUGCUCCGCCGCCGAGGCCUUCAACCCUGAGCCCUUCUGCCAUGAGUCCGCAGCAGGCUCCAUUGUUGUGUUCACCGCCCGGGCCCCUCACCGCCAGAUCGCAGUCCACUCCACCGUGUAGUCGCUGUACUGUGCCCCUUCGCAGCUUUGCUGCCGAGGCCAACGCCCAGACGUUCAUCAACCCUAGGUGGCCAUGGUACCACGAUGCUGCGGUGACUGCUGAUACGAUUCCUGUUAUGUCAUGUUUGAUGCUGAAUCACGAGGGAUUCUCCAAGAGUUGGAAGCUAUCAAACAGCACCAGGCAGUCAAGUUGUACAGAUGGUGAAAAGUAUGGAGAAGCUGCAGUCAAGUUGCUUGCUGCUACAUUAGGAGAUCAAUGGGUGCUUGCUGAUAAAAGAAUGCAUAUAAAUAACAAUUGGUGGAGGCGGAUAAGGAGGCUGGUCAAGUCAGCCUCCUGCAAUUAUGUCACUGGUAAUAUGCUUUUCUAUAGCUGAUCUUUUCCCUCUUCGGUCAUGUUCUGUUCUGCUUACCACACCUCUCCUCCACCAAAAAAAAAAAAGUAUGGAACAUCAUCAUGUAGAAACUAAAAUUUAAGUUGACUCAAAUUAAGUAGAAAACAUGCUAGAAAGAAGUACCCCUCCCUCACUGCUGACAAAAGGAAUGAGGGCUUCAAAAGAAUUGAGAGUACAGGUAGCGGUCCUAGCGGAAGAAAGGAAGCAUAUGGAGCAAUAAAUUGGUCUGCCUUUACUACUAUUAGAGAGAGCAUAUGACAUGCUUGCAAUGAUCAAACUUCCGAAGAAAUGUGCGGUUGUUGUUGUUAUGAGCUGUGAGGCCCAUCAAGCAGAGCAGAUUAGUGUGAUUUAUUGAUUCUAUAUGUUAAAAUUGAUAUACUACAUCAUGUUUCUAUGUUUUGUAGUGCAGACUUUUUCUAGAGAUAAUUUGUGUAUCCAUUCAAUAAUAUUUUUUUCUAC
rnacentral:lncRNA from 1 species